rnacentral:rRNA from 1 species
AUGAACGCUGGCGGCGUGCCUAAUACAUGCAAGUCGAGCGAACGGACGAGAAGCUUGCUUUUCUGAUGUUAGCGGCGGGCGGGUGAGUAACACGUGGAUAACCUACCUAUAAGACUGGGAUAACUUCGGGAAACCGGAGCUAAUACCGGAUAAUAUUUUGAACCGCAUGGUUCAAAAGUGAAAGACGGUCUUGCUGUCACUUAUAGAUGGAUCCGCGCUGCAUUAGCUAGUUGGUAAGGUAACGGCUUACCAAGGCAACGAUGCAUAGCCGACCUGAGAGGGUGAUCGGCCACACUGGAACUGAGACACGGUCCAGACUCCUACGGGAGGCAGCAGUAGGGAAUCUUCCGCAAUGGGCGAAAGCCUGACGGAGCAACGCCGCGUGAGCGAUGAAGGUCUUCGGAUCGUAAAACUCUGUUAUUAGGGAAGAACAUAUGUGUAAGUAACUGUGCACAUCUUGACGGUACCUAAUCAGAAAGCCACGGCUAACUACGUG